CCUGAUCGCUCUCUUUAAUAAGUGUUUCCCGACGAGCCGUGGUGUUUAUGGGAAAGGGCAGGUGGAGUUCAGGACCUGCAGGGGAUUGUCCUCCAGAAUAAAGCGGCCCCUUUCCGCAGGGGGAAGUGGGUGUUUGAGGGGAGAGGGGGAGCUUCAAAUCCAAACCUCCAGGCAUCCUCACCUGCAGUCCCAGGUGUAUUGUCAGCAAACGUCCCCCUUGAUUUCCUUUGGCCGUUCAUCUGUAAACAGGAAUAUUUUCCCCUAAAACGAUCAGAAAGAAUCUUGUCUCGGCACUAGAGCAAUGAUCAGUGCCCCGCAAGGAACUAAGCGCAGAUGGGAAUAGCAGCCGGGUUAUCAUUGAUAAAUUGAAACUGCUGCAAAUAACCACACUGGCUCCUGCCACUUCAAUUCCCUCUGGUUAAUAAAUUACAGCAAGAGACGUGUCACUCACUUGUUCCGCUCACAUGGCGCGUCUUCAGCUGCAAAGAUGAUGUCUUAAAAUAUUAAAAGUAUUAAGCACAGAUACUUCUGCACUUGCGCUUGGUGCAACUAGAGCUGAGAUGUUAGGGCGUUUGUUUUAAAAUGAAAUGACCGGCAGUUAAUGAGCUGCAGAAACAGGUCAAUGAAAGACAACAGUUCCCUGCUUUCUGCCAUUUCAAAACAGGAUCUCAAACCACUUUCUAGUCUCUGCAUCUGAAAGUUUGUUUUGUUUCACUUGGUUGUUGUUUUCAUUGUCUCAGGUGUCUGGAAAAUUUUAAAUAUGCUUUUGAAAUGGCUCAUGGAAUUAAUGGUGACAGCGAACAUGACAGUCAGUUGGUUUAAAUUAAAGUGCUAUUGAUCAGAAAUCAAGUGAUGAUCAGUACCAUAAAUAUUUUCCCUUUCUUAAACCCUCGUUCUUCCCCGCUAAAUUCCGAUACCAUUUGGUUCCUGCAAUUUAAGUCUAAAUUCUUAGGUCCAUGUGUGAAAGAUAAAAUGAAUGUCAAUUACUAUUGGAAAAAAUCAGGAAUUGAAUGAGAUUUGCAAGACCUAGUUUCUUAAACGGAAAUUGAGCCCUAUUUUGUGGGAAAUUAGUUUUGCAGACUUUCUAAAAAAAAAAAAAACUAAAAACUUUUGUUCAGCAGCUGCUCCACUUUCCCCUGCAGUUUCAGAGUGAGCUGGAACCUGCAGCAGUCUUUAAACGGUGCAACUUCCCUUUACGUGCCCAGUGAUUGGGCUGAGUUCUCUUCCACAGUGUCAGAUGUUAACAACAUGUCCUGAAGUUUCUUACCAACCUGUUCCUGUCAAUCAGUCUCUGGAAAUGUGGAACAAGGAGUCUUGAAGGGGAAAAAAUAGAAAUGCAGAGGGAGACCGACACAGUUUGAGCCAUAAAAUAUCUAAGCAGUUGAAAAGAGUGCUUAUCAACACACAUCACAAGAGAUCUUCAUCUCGUAUACCUAGAGACGCCACUCCACAACCUCAUUCUGCACCGCUCCUGCAUCUGUCAGCCAUUGAACCUGGCCAAGAGUCUUUCUAUAUUAUUCUCAAGAGAGUUUGAGUAAUCCCAGGACCCGAUAAGAAAUGCAACCAAUGUGUUUCAUGCACAUUAAACGGUCAAUAGGAAGACGUACUUGCGCGUCUAGGGCCUAAUCCAGCUCCUAUUAAAAUCAAGAGAGAUGCCAAGGCUGAUCCUGAGCUGAUGUAAAUUGUCCAAGCUUCACUGACUUAAAAUCAACAAAAAAUGUGAGGAUGAAAGGGGGAACAAAUGAUCACUCAUUGACAACAAAGUCAAGGUAAAGGACAAAAUUAACCAAAGCACCAAGGAGCAUAAAAAGAAAUUAUCUAACUGUCUUUACACCCAUGCUAGGAAUGUUAGUAAUAAAUAAGAGGCAAUGGAAUCAACCAUUUAUUAGCACAAAUUCUACGUAGAUGGUAUUACUGAAACCCGUUGGGAAGAUUUGCAUAACUGGAAUAUAACCUAUUUAGGAAGGAUCACGGAGGCAAAAGGGGAAGAAGGACACUCUAAAAUGGCCUUAGUAGUUUCUGAGUCACUGACAGCUCAAAAGCAAAUGAUCUAGGUCCUUGCCCUGCUCUAUUUAACAUUUUCAUCAAUGGUCUGGAAGAAAAUAAAAUAAUUACAGAUAACACAAACAUCGAGGAAAGUGGUAAAGAAUUAACAGGACAGGUCACUGAUACAAAGCAACCUGGUUCGCUUGGUAAGCUCAUCACAUGCAAAACAAUAUGUAUUUCAAUAUGGCUAAAUGUAAAGUCAUGCCUCUAGUAACAAAAAAUGUAGACCAUACGUCCUUACAGGACAGGGACACUAUCCUGGGAAGCAGGGACUCAGGAAAUUAAAAAAAAAAUUAAAUGAUCAUGGUGGAUGGUGAGCUGAACAUGAGCACCCAGUGCGACACUAUAGCCAAAAGGGCUAAUGUGAUCCUUGGAUGUAUAAAUGGGAAUAUCAAGUAGUAGGCAGAUUGUAUAACCUCUCUACUUGGCACUGGCAUAACUGCUACUGGAACAAUAUGUCCAGUUCAGGUGUCCAGAAUUGAAGUAAAUUGGAGAGGGUUCAGAGAAGAGUGAUGACAUGACUAAAGGAUUAGAAAACAUGCUUUAUAGUGAUAAAUUUAAUGGAUUGAGCUCCUUGAGUCUAUCAAAGAGAAGGUUAAGGGGUGGUUUGAUCAUUGUUUAGAAGUACCUACAUGGGGAAUAGAGGUGUGAUAGUAGAAGGCACUUCAGUGUGGCAGAUCAAAGUAUAACAAGAUGCAAUGGCUGGAAGUUGAAGCUAGAUGAAUUCAGACUAGAAAAGAAAUAAGGUGCUUUUUUUUUUUAAGUGAGGGUAAUUAAUCUUUGGAAUGUCUCACUAAGAGCUGUGGUGGAGUCUUCAUCACUGGAACAUUUUAUAUCGAGAUUAAAUGCUUUCUCUGAUAUAUUCUCUAGUUCAGAGAGAAAUUAAUUCAGGGAAGUCCUCUGGCCUGUGUUACACAGGAGGACAGACUAGAGGAUCACAAUGGUCCCUUCUGGCCUUCUAAUCCAUGAUGACUUCAAUUCCAGACCUCCUUUUUUGCCUUCUAGGGCAGACUCAACCAGUUCAGGAUUAAUCAACUGCAUGCGGGCCCUGGUUUUGCUGCAUAAAGGGUGUCUCCCUUUAAUGUCAUCUUGCAUUUGACCAGGAUUUUUCCCACACUAUGGGAACUAAUACAGUCUGAACGUAUGUCUAUCAUAAUGCCAUCUAGCAUUAGUAUUACAGACUAGUGAUAUGCGAGUGAAUUUAAAAGAAUUGUCUUGCGAAGUGAAAUAUUAUAAAUUUUACGGCCAAGUAAAUUUAAAACACCCUCUGGACUCCAGAGAAAUGAAAGGAAAUAGAAAAUUAUGCACUAAUACACACUGUACUGUUCAACUGAAACAGAGAAUUAUAGGGAUAGGUAACUUAUUUUGCCCAAUUGUUGUACCUUCAGGAAAGUCUUGAGUCUGAAAGCUUGACUGCAACCAUGAAAGUUUCUGAAUUCACAUUUUGGAUAGGAAAGACUGAAAAAAAUGGUACAACAAGGGAAGGAGAAAAAUUCUAAAGAAAGAAUGUAUCUCAUCUAAACAUACCAUACAUACAGCACUAACUAUGUCAGUCUACCUUUUCUGAGGGUAGCAGUUUUCUGCUAUCCCUAUUAUAGUCCAAUAAUUCCAAUCUGCUAGUAAAACAAGGAUUGUUUAAAAGCUGACUCUCCAAGAAAAAAAAUGCAUGUUUAAAUCCCAGAGAGAAAAAAGGUUUACAAAUGCAAAGCCAGAUCCUCAGCUGGUAUAAAUCAGCAUAGCACCAUUGAAGUGAAUGGGGCUAUGCCCAGUUACACUAGCUGAAGAUCUGGCCCUCAUACUAAUUUUGCAAACCCAAUAGCCCUGCUGUGCACAGAGCACACAUUUUCAUAACAUUCAGAAAGUGAGAUUUUUCAGCUGAAGUUCGUACAAAAACUCAAGGGCCGGGGGAGGAAUGGGGAAGAGAGUAAAAAAAGGGCAGAAGAGCACCAGAAAAUAAAAACAGAUUAGGACAGAUUUUGUUCUCAGUUACACUGUACAUAAACCCAGAGUAACUCCUAUAGAAUCAGUGGAAUUAAACUUGUGAAUAGUUGAUAUGAGAGUAGAAUGAGACCCAACAAACAACUGAGAAUAAUUUGACUUGUAGAGGAAGUCUCUCACUUCUAGUCCUACAGUCCUCCACAAAUAGAUAUUUCAUUACAAAAAUUCUAAAUACUAUGGCUACCACAUCAGCUGCUAAGGAUCACUAGAAAUUUAUCAUAUGGUAAUGCAGCACUCUGAGCUAAGCAAAGCACAUGAACCUAACUAUGGUACAAGCUAGGUAGUUUCACUACAACACUAACACUAUUUGCGUAAAUAUUGUUGAAAGACAGAGAAGAGAGAGAAGGAAACUCUGCAUCUUAAAUAUAGGGUCUUUAAUGCUGACAUACAUCAAAAUGCUGUGUAUACUUCUGGAACCCUUCUAUAAAAAUGUCUCUAACUCUAGGGACUCAUUGUAUAAGUUAGUUAUGCACCAUUUAAAUGUGAAAAAUGCACACUUUACUUGGAAAAAGAUGUGUGAUGUGAAGUGUUUUUAAGAAUAAUUGAAUGAUUUUGUGAUUCAUUAAAUGCUUUUUCCUCCACACACAAGUAAUGACUUUUCCAAUGUGUACCCAAAGGGGGAAAAGUCAAAAGAGUGAGAGGAGGGUGAAGAGUACAUAGGAAAAGGAUCAUUUUCAGAGUUUUUUUCUUUCAUUCUUUAUCUCUUUCUCAUCCAAGAGAAACAGAACAAUGAGCAAAAACGUAAGUGGCAGCAUUUAGAAAAUAAAAUAAAAACAACAUUCCUCAACACCAGAAAAAGAAGUAUUAGGUUACAAGUUGUCUAUUUUUUGUUUUAAGAUGGAAUACAAAAAAUUGUGGCACCUAAAGUUGAUUGAAUAUGGCUUCUCCCGCAUAUCCCUGCUGUGACCAAGGGAUCAUAUACCCAAUAUGUCUUUAUGCCAAAGUGUAAAUCUUCAGUUUCCUCCUCUCUCUCUCUUUUUUAAACUAGGGAAACAAUACACACCUUGACUCCUGCAAAAAAAGAUCUCUGGCAAAAUCACAAAACGCCUGCUUAAAUAAUACCCAAAAGGUAACUCUGUACAUUCCACUGGCCAGAAAUAACUCUCAGCUAGGCGAAUCCAUGAGAAAGUUAAAAGGAUAUUGUAACGCUCUUAGGGGAGCUGUAGCACUAUAAGAGCAAUAUGAGGCAAUGUCCUAACAUGAGCUAUCACUUUAUGUAUGUGCUAUAUACACUAGCAUGAAUUAUAUUACAACAUUUGGCACACUAUAGCUUUUGAUCUGUUUUGACUUAUGACCUAUGUCCUAUUGUGACCUUUAUGGCUGAACCUGUAGAGAAUAGUUCAAACAAUAGGUAUACAUGAUAGAUGACAGAUAGGAUAAAAAGAUAUAAGGGAUAUAAACACAUAGUGCAUUAGCCAGCCAAAAAACUGCAUGAAACUAAGAUGAAACUUCCCCUAC